rnacentral:lncRNA from 1 species
CUACAAAGGAAACCUUGUUUGGCUUUGCAGAAUCAUUCUUUAUGUUUACUCUUCUAGGAUAGCCUUUGCUAGGAAAGCCUUUACUUCCCACCACUAGGAGGAACUAAAUACAUAAAAUCAGCUGGACCUAGAAUUCAAUAAGAGGAAGAGGUUGGGUUGAAUCUCAUUUGGCAGAUAGAGUUCUGGACUUGGAAUCAGGGAGAUCUGGAUUCUAAUUCUACCUCUGAAGUUACUAGCUGUGUCAAGAUAUCCCUCCUACCAGGGAGCUGCUCCAAAGAGUUAUGAUGGACACUGCUCUUGUUUCUGGUGUCAGCUCAGUUUAAUGCUGAAAAACAUCAAGAUUGCGGGAUUGCUACAAAACAAAAUUCCUAUUUAUUCCGUGAAAUUAAGGAGAACGCUGGGUGGGGGUGUGUGGGGAUGUGGAUGUGUGUAAAUCAGCUCCCCCAUUUUCUUUUCUUCCAAAUGCAAGUGAAAUCUCCUCUAGACUCACAUGAGUAAUUUUCAGCUGUGUAUUAUGCUCCUGAAGUAACCUCUUCAUUUCCAUUGUUUUAGUGUGAAAUCAUUUCCUCAGGAGAUAAUUAGGGUUG